GACGAACGCUGGCGGCGUGCUUAACACAUGCAAGUCGAACGGAAAGGCCCUGCUUUUGUGGGGUGCUCAAGUGGCGAACGGGUGAGUAACACGCGAGUAACCUGCCCUUGACUUUGGGAUAACUUCAGGAAACUGGGGCUAAUACCGGAUAGGAGCUCCUGCUGCAUGGUGGGGGUUGGAAAGUUUCGGCGGUUGGGGAUGGACUCGCGGCUUAUCAGCUUGUUGGUGGGGUAGUGGCUUACCAAGGCUUUGACGGGUAGCCGGCCUGAGAGGGUGACCGGCCACAUUGGGACUGAGAUACGGCCCAGACUCCUACGGGAGGCAGCAGUGGGGAAUAUUGCACAAUGGGCGGAAGCCUGAUGCAGCAACGCCGCGUGCGGGAUGACGGCCUUCGGGUUGUAAACCGCUUUCGCCUGUGACGAAGCGUGAGUGACGGUAAUGGGUAAAGAAGCACCGGCUAACUACGUG
rnacentral:rRNA from 1 species